UUGCCAGCCCGCUACAGAAACUCAAAGGAAUUGACGGGGGCCCGCACAAGCGGAGGAGCAUGUGGUUUAAUUCGAUGAUACGCGAGGAACCUUACCUGGGCUCGAACGUAAGAUGACUGUAGGUGAAAGCUUACAUCUCUUCGGAGCAUUUUACGAGGUGCUGCAUGGUUGUCGUCAGCUCGUGCCGUGAGGUGUCGGGUUAAGUCCCAUAACGAGCGCAACCCCUACCUUUAGUUGCCAUCAGGUUAAGCUGGGGACUCUAAAGGAACUGCCUACGCAAGUAGUGAGGAAGGCGGGGAUGACGUCAAAUCAGCACGGCCCUUACGUCCAGGGCUACACACGUGCUACAAUGGCCGAUACAGAGGGCAGCUACCUGGUGACAGGAUGCAAAUCUCCAAAGUCGGUCUCAGUUCGGAUCGGAGUCUGCAACCCGACUCCGUGAAGUUGGAUUCGCUAGUAAUCGCGCAUCAGCCAUGGCGCGGUGAAUACGUUCCCGGGCCUU
rnacentral:rRNA from 1 species